UACGUAGGGUGCAAGCGUUGUCCGGAAUUAUUGGGCGUAAAGAGCUCGUAGGCGGUUAGUCGCGUCUGCUGUGAAAACUCGGGGCUUAACUCCGGGCCUGCAGUGGGUACGGGCUGACUAGAGUGCGGUAGGGGAGACUGGAAUUCCUGGUGUAGCGGUGAAAUGCGCAGAUAUCAGGAGGAACACCGGUGGCGAAGGCGGGUCUCUGGGCCGGAACUGACGCUGAGGAGCGAAAGCGUGGGGAGCGAACAGG
rnacentral:rRNA from 1 species